CCCUUAGAUGUUCUGGGCCGCACGCGCGCUACACUGAAUGGAUCAACGUGUUUUCCCUUCCCGAGAGGGACGGGUAACCCGCUGAACCCCAUUCGUGGUAGGGAUCGGAGCUUGCAAUUGUUCUCCGUGAACCAGGAAUUCCCAGUAAGCGCAAGUCAUAAGCUUGCGUUGAUUACGUCCCUGCCCUUUGUACACACCGCCCGUCGCUACUACCGAUUGAAUGGUCCGGUGAAGCGUUCGGACCGUGGCCUUUGGACGGUUCGCCGUCUGUUGGCUGCGGGAAGUUCGUUAAACCUUAUCAUUUAGAGGAAGGAGAAGUCGUANCA
rnacentral:rRNA from 1 species